AUUCUACUCCCUCCGUUGCACAAUACAUGCCUUCUAUUUGUCAGAAUAUAUAUGUAUCUAGACAUGUUUUAGUAUAUAGGUACAUCCAUUUUUGGACAAAUGGAAGUCAAGUAUUUUGGAACGAAGGGAGUACACA
rnacentral:pre_miRNA from 1 species